GUAAUGUUUCUUGCUCAAAUGAGUAUUCCAAUCACAGUUGCAUUUGCAUGUAUAUCAGUCCAAAAUAUAGAGUAUAGUCUAUAUAUAUAGUCUCUGUUUACUGUAAGUUUGGCUGAUAAUGCUUCUGUUUCUGAGAUGCUCAUUUGAACAAGCAAUGUUAA
rfam:Theobroma cacao cultivar Matina 1-6 chromosome 3, whole genome shotgun sequence.